UACGGAGGGUGCAAGCGUUAUCCGGAUUCACUGGGUUUAAAGGGUGCGUAGGUGGGAAUGUAAGUCAGUGGUGAAAUCUCCGUGCUUAACAUGGAAACUGCCAUUGAUACUAUGUUUCUUGAAUUUUCUGGAGGUCAGCGGAAUAUGUCAUGUAGCGGUGAAAUGCUUAGAUAUGACAUAGAACACCAAUUGCGAAGGCAGCUGACUACAGGGACAUUGACACUGAUGCACGAAAGCGUGGGGAUCAAACAGG
rnacentral:rRNA from 1 species